rnacentral:misc_RNA from 1 species
AACAAAUCAGUAGCACAAGAAAUCCUGGAAUAUAACUACUAAAAUAAUUAGAUUCAAAUUUUAUAAUAACAAAGAUGUGUCUUAACAAUAAAAAAAUACCAACCAUCAGGUGAAAAGAUAUCAAAGCUCACUCAACAACAACAAAUAAUUAUGUUUCUAUGCUCAUCAAAAUUUCUAUGACUGCAAGAUUAAGGUUCUUCACAAUGUUCAAAUAUCUGUAACUAAGUCUAUAGUUAGUUUCACCAUCUCCAUGGAAAAUAGAAAGAAUUAAAUCAAGAUUAGAAUCUGCAAGAAAUCAAGGAUUGUUAACAAAAGUCCACAUAGGCUCCAUUUGGAAUUGUGGUUGGGAUGACAAAUUUGAAACUGCUUUUUGGAAAAAGCACACUUUUAAGUAUUGUUGAAAAAAAACAGUUUGAAAAAGUUGUU